UCUCCGUAGGUGAACCUGCGGAGGGAUCAUUACUGAGUGAGGGCUUCGGUCCGACCUCCAACCCUUUGUGAACCAAACUUGUUGCUUCGGGGGCGACCCUGCCGCUUCGGCGGUGCGGCGCCCCCGGAGGCCAUUAAACACUGCAUCGUUGCGUCUGAGUCGAAAUAUAAAUCAAUCAAAACUUUCAACAACGGAUCUCUUGGUUCUGGCAUCGAUGAAGAACGCAGC
rnacentral:misc_RNA from 1 species